ACUCCUACGGGAGGCAGCAGUGAGGAAUAUUGGUCAAUGGGCGAUGGCCUGAACCAGCCAAGUAGCGUGAAGGAUGACUGCCCUAUGGGUUGUAAACUUCUUUUAUAAAGGAAUAAAGUCGGGUAUGCAUACCCGUUUGCAUGUACUUUAUGAAUAAGGAUCGGCUAACUCCGUGCCAGCAGCCGCGGUAAUAC
rnacentral:rRNA from 1 species